rnacentral:rRNA from 1 species
UACGUAGGGUGCGAGCGUUAAUCGGAAUUACUGGGCGUAAAGCGUGCGCAGGCGGUUCCGCAAGUCAGAUGUGAAAUCCCCGGGCUUAACCUGGGAACUGCGUUUGAAACUACGGAGCUAGAGUACGGCAGAGGGGGGUGGAAUUCCACGUGUAGCAGUGAAAUGCGUAGAUAUGUGGAGGAACACCGAUGGCGAAGGCAGCCCCCUGGGCCGAUACUGACGCUCAGGCACGAAAGCGUGGGGAGCAAACAGGAUUAGAUACCCUGGUAGUCCACGCCCUAAACUAUGUCAACUAGUUGUCGGGGAAGCAAUUCCUUGGUAACGAAGCUAACGCGUGAAGUUGACCGCCUGGGGAGUACGGUCGCAAGAUUAAA